rnacentral:rRNA from 1 species
AUUGAACGCUGGCGGCAGGCCUAACACAUGCAAGUCGAGCGAGCGGCGGACGGGUGAGUAAUGUCUGGGAACCUGCCUGAUGGAGGGGGAUAACUACUGGAAACGGUAGCUAAUACCGCAUACCAUCAGAUGUGCCCAGAUGGGAUUAGCUAGUGGGUGGGGUAAUGGCUCACCUAGGCGGCGAUCCCUAGCUGGGCUGAGAGGAUGACCAGCAAAACUGGAACUGAGACACGGUCCAGACUCCUACGGGAGGCAGCAGUGGGGAAUAUUGCACAAUGGGCGAAAGCCUGAUGCAGCCAUGCCGCGUGUGUGAAGAAGGCCUUCGGGUUGUAAAGCACUUUUAGCGGGGAGGCGUUACUCGCAGAAGAAGCACCGGCUAACUCCGUGCCAGCAGCCGCGGUAAUUC